GACGUAGGGCGCGAGCGUUGUCCGGAUUUAUUGGGCGUAAAGAGCGUGUAGGCGGCCAAGUAGGUCCGGUGUGAAAACUCGAGGCUUAACCUCGAGAUGUCAUCGGAAACCAUUUGGCUAGAGUCCGGAAGAGGAAAGUGGAAUUCCUGGUGUAGCGGUGAAAUGCGCAGAUAUCAGGAAGAACACCAAUGGCGAAAGCAGCUUUCUGGGACGGUACUGACGGUGAGACGCGAAAGCGUGGGGAGCGAACAGG
rnacentral:rRNA from 1 species